AGGCCGUGAUGGGGACACUUGCGUAAUAGCUCCUUGAACCUUUCCCAAGUUUCAUAUAAGUAUUCCCCUUCCUCUUGUGAGUAUGUAUUAAUUUCAGCCAUUAAUUU
rnacentral:snoRNA from 1 species